rnacentral:tRNA from 1 species
UAUUUUAAUAGCUUAUGUAGAGCUUAGUAUUGAAGAUACUAGGGAAAUGAAAAUUUUAAAGUAC